rnacentral:lncRNA from 1 species
AUUCUUCUUUCAAGGCCUGGGUGAAGACCUCUGCCUCCAGGAAGCCUCCUGUGGCCAGCCAAGCCAUAACUCUUAGACCUCUGGGGAGGUGGUCCCCAUUUGCUGCCAACUCCAGCGCCAGGCUGAUGGCUGCCAGGAGCAAGAUGACAGAAGGACGGGAGAGGCUGCAUCCAGGGAGGCAUGGAACCACCCAGAGGACCGGGCCAUGCGCUGCUCUGGCCUCCUCUGCCCCUGGGGGACCCUCCACUGCUCAGGCCUGGGGGAGCAGCCAGGUAAGGGUGGUCUCUGGCUGGGCGGAGGGUUUGUCAAUGUGUGGGUGCUGGGGUAGCCUGGGUGGCUGGAGUGGGAGAGAAAGGAACUCAGCAUCAGGUUUCUCCUUUCAGCAGACAUGCUGGACGUCCUGGGUUAGGAGAUCAGGCCUGUCACAUGUCACCCUCCACCCUCACCAACAAAACACAUAUACAAAUGGAAAGAGACAGAGAGAGGCUGAGUUAGCUGCUCUCUUGAUCUGUGCUUACCUUUGUGUCUUACUCUUCCUUCUUUGCGUGAUGACUUUUCCCUCCUUCAUUUAAUAACCAUGCACUGGCCCUGCUGGCCGCUCUGUUCUGGGUGCCGGGCAGAGCAAGGUGGGGGAGAUGCCCUUUAGGGAUAUAGACAAGUAGUGAGUGAUGAUACCACAUUUCUCUCCCCUUCACUCUGUCCCUUUGUCUCGCUAGCACCCCCAAUCCCCAUCUUUUUCUUUUCUUUUAUUUCCGCCUUUUCUAGGGCUGCCCCGUGGCACAUGGAGGUUCCCAGGCUAGGGGUCUAAUCAGAGCUGUAGCCGCUGGCCUACACCACAGCCACAGCAACGCGGGAUCUGAGUUGUGUCUGCAACCUACACCACAGCUCACGGCAAUGCUGGAUCCUUAACCCACUGAGCAAGGCCGGGGAUCGAACCUGCAACCUCAUGGUUCCUAGUCAGAUUCGUUAACCACUGCGCCACGACGGGAACUUCAAUCCCCACCUUUUUCUGUCUCUGUCUCUCAAACCAGAGAAGCAAGGCUUUCUUUUCCAAUGAGAGGCAGAACUGCUUACUGGAGGUAGUGGCCUUGAACUCAUCUUAAAUUGCUCACUGUGACUCUCCCCUGGGCCAGCUUCCUAGGGGCAGGGUGGUCUCAGUCCAGGUCCCCAGGCCCUUGAAGAUGAAAAGAAGUCCCUGGUUCAGCCUUUUUUGGAGACAAGGAAAACCGGGGCAUGGAGAGAGGAUGGCGUCCUGCCUGGAGGAGGUGGCGAAGAGAAUUCGGGUCAAACUGCCAAGAGCUUAGGCCUGGCGCAUAUCCUGCCCUAACCUGUAUCUCAGGCCUAACCCCCUAGGCCUCAAGAGCCUAUCACAUCUCUUUCUGAGGUGAACUAGGAGGUGCUGAGACUUGGCUUUUGGCAGACUCUUCCCACCUUAGCCCUUGUCCACUGCCAAGGUCAGUAUGUUGCCACUGUUUGUGCAAAGUUGCUUCAAGUCACAGGCUCUGGCAGGGACAAUGGGCUCCCUCGGCCCAUGGCUGCUGUGUGUUGGGGGGCAAGUGGGAACCUAGGAAG